UACGAAGGGGGCUAGCGUUGCUCGGAAUCACUGGGCGUAAAGGGCGUGUAGGCGGCCCGCUAAGUCAGGUGUGAAAGGCCUGGGCUCAACCCAGGAAAUGCGCCUGAGACUGACGGGCUUGAAUCCGGGAGAGGAUGGUGGAACUCCCAGUGUAGAGGUGAAAUUCGUAGAUAUUGGGAAGAACACCCGUGGCGAAGGCGGCCAUCUGGACCGGUAUUGACGCUAAGGCGCGACAGCGUGGGGAGCAAACAGG
rnacentral:rRNA from 1 species